AUUGAACGCUAGCGGCAGGCCUUACACAUGCAAGUCGAACGGAGUGGCGAACGGGUGAGUAAUGUAUAGGAAUGUGCCAAGUAGUGGGGGAUAACUACGCGAAAGGGGAGCUAAUACCGCAUACUAUUGGAGCGGCCGAUAUCGGAUUAGCUAGUUGGUGGGGUAACGGCCAACCAAGGCGACGAUCCGUAGCUGGUUUGAGAGGAAGAUCAGCAACACUGGAACUGAGACACGGCCCAGACUCCUACGGGAGGCAGCAGUGGGGAAUAUUGGACAAUGGGGGAAAGCCUGAUCCAGCCAUCCCGCGUGUGCGAUGAAGGCCUUCGGUUUGUAAAGCACUUUUAGCAGGGAAGCGUUACCUGCAGAAUAAGCACCGGCUAACUACGUGCCAGCCGCCGCGGUAAUUC
rnacentral:rRNA from 1 species